GUUGUAGUCUGGAGAAGUGCUUUCCGCGCUGGACCGUGUAAAAGUCUCUUGGAACAGAGCGUCAUAGAGGGUGAGAAUCCCGUCUCUGACAUGGACUACCAGUGCUUUGUGAUGCGCUCUCGAAGAGUCGAGUUGUUUGGGAAUGCAGCUCAAAAUGGGUGGUAAAUUCCAUCUAAAGCUAAAUAUUGGCGAGAGACCGAUAGCGAACAAGUACCGUGAGGGAAAGAUGAAAAGCACUUUGGAAAGAGAGUUAAACAGUACGUGAAAUUGCUGAAAGGGAAACGCUUGAAGUCAGUCGCAUUGUUUGGAACUCAGCCUUGCUUUUUGCUUGGUGCACUUUCUGAAUGAUGGGCCAGCAUCAAUUUUGACCGUUGGAAAAGGUCUGGGGGAAUGUGGCAGUUGUUUACAGCUGUGUUAUAGCCUCCAGUCACAUACGGCGGUCGGGAUUGAGGAAUGCAGCGCGCCGCAAGGUAGGGGAGAUCUCCCACUUCCGCGCUUAGGAUGCUGGCGUAAUGGCUUUAAACGACCCGUCUUGAAACACGGACCAAGGAGUCUAACAUGCCUGCGAGUGUUUGGGUGGAAAACCCGAGCGCGUAAUGAAAGUGAAAGUUGAGACCUCUGUCGUGGAGGGCAUCGACGCCCGGACCUGACGUUCUCUGAGGGAUCCGCGGUAGAGCAUGUAUGUUGGGACCCGAAAGAUGGUGAACUAUGCCUGAAUAGGGUGAAGCCAGAGGAAACUCUGGUG
rnacentral:rRNA from 1 species